CACGUAGGGGCCAAGCGUUGUCCGGAUUCAUUGGGCGUAAAGAGCUCGUAGGCGGUUCAGUCAGUCGGGUGUGAAAUCUCCGGGCUCAACUCGGAGGGGCCACCCGAUACUGCUGUGACUCGAGUCCGGUAGGGGAGUGGGGAAUUCCUGGUGUAGCGGUGAAAUGCGCAGAUAUCAGGAGGAACACCAAUGGCGAAGGCAGCACUCUGGGACGUGACUGACGCUGAGACGCGAAAGCGUGGGGAGCGAACAGG
rnacentral:rRNA from 1 species